UUGCAAGCCAAGGAAGGUGCCUGUGACUAUGCUUGGAUCCAAGCCAUGGUCACUCAUUUCCUACCCUGGUGUUUUAGCUACAUCCUUCCUGCAGUCUGUCUGUGCCUGAGGUUCCCAAGCAUUUGCCAAAGCUUUAUUGAAGUUGAUUUUUGCAUAUGUAGACAAGAAAUGCAGAUGUAAAAGCAAAGUAAGUACUGCUUCAGUGGAGAAAAAAGUUUGAAAUCCAGGAAUGAAUGAAACUAAGUUGUUGCUAAACCAGUGGAAGUGAUAUGAAAGGACUCAGACACCUGAAGAAUGGCUCCUGUAGAGGAACUCCUGGAAGUGUCUCACCUCUGCUGGACCAGUCUCAGACAAAGGGAUGGAGAAAUGCUGUUGGGCUCACUCCUGCCCAUGCAUUUUGAAUUAUAGCUGCUGCGGCAGCAGAGGAACAGAGACAACCUCUACUGAAUCAGAGUAAUAUAUAUUGGAAUUGAGAGAUCUGGAAAUGGACUCCUCGUUAUAAGCCUAAAGAACCUUAAUGAGCCUCCCAUCCCUUGUAGUCAGGAUGCAUGAGCAAUUUUAGCAGAGGUCAUGGUUGAGAUGAUGCCUUUGAAAAGCUGCAGUGGUGUUACUCAUGCAAAAUCUCUGAGCAGUUGUCAGCUGAAAUUAGACGCAGGGCCUGUAUUUCAGCUUCUUCUGUUACGUAGGAGCAAGCAAGAUGGAUCUGUCUGUGGUUUCACGUUAACUUCCAUCAGCCAGAAAACUUGGGAAAUUUGUUAUCAUCUAUUUUCAUGAUUAGCUGUGAACUCUACACACAUCUCAAGAGGAAAGGGUAUCUCUUUCUCUGAAAUGAAUAUGUGCAAAACACCUCUGUGCAGAAAAUGACUUAAAUGUCUAUCUCAGUGGGAACUGAAAGGAAGCUGCCAAAGUGAUUUAUGCUGAAGAAAAGCAGAUGAAAGUGGAAGAAAUACAGAGGAUGUAGAUAUCAAGAGGGAAUGCAUGGAUCUGAGUGCAUGUGUGUAAAUUGCUUGACUUUGCUCUGCCCAUAUGUGACAUUUAAUUUGUUGUAGCAUCGGUCCAAAGAGAGAACUAGAUCUGAGCUUUCUUCAUGCAGACUUGGUUCACAUGACAGACUUGGAGUCACCAAGCCCAGUCUCUACAAAUAAGUAAGUUGCUCUGAAACAUAGUAAAAUAGGAGGCAUUACUGUUCAGAGCAGACCUUAUAAAAGCUGGCUUGCUUUCAUGCACUGAGCACACCUCUAAAGAGAGCCCCAGAUUUUAGACUCUGUACGAAGCCAAGCGCCUUCUUGUCAGCUGGGCCAGGCUGCCCUACACUGUAGCUGUAUUAAUCUGAACGUUUGAUUUGGAAUUCUGCAUUUUUUUUCAGGAUCUAAAUAUCCUUUAUCCUCAUAUAAAAGGUUUUUGUAUUUGUUUUUCAUGGGGAUUUCUUGUAGCAUAUGGAGCAUGGAUUUCCACCUUUCCAUGGUUUAUAGUAGAAAAAACGGAGCAAAGGACAAUACAGUAAUUAGCUGGGUGUUCUCCAGAGGCUGUCAUAUUAUUUUGCUGCCACAGCAAGGCUUGUGUAGAAAUUAAGUUCCUGUCAAACAUCAAACAUUAUCUGCACUAUCAAAUAACUUACACAAGAUUUUUCCCACAGAAUCACAGAAUCACAGAAUCACAGAAUCACCCGGGUUGGAAGGGACCUCAAGGAUCAUGUAGUUCCAACCCCCCUGCCUAGCAGGGCCACCAAACAUACACAUUCAGAUCAGGUUGCCCAGGACCCCGUCCAACCUGGCCUUAAACACGUCC